UACAGAGGUCUCAAGCGUUGUUCGGAUUCAUUGGGCGUAAAGGGUGCGUAGGUGGCGCCGUAAGUCAGGUGUGAAAUCUCGGGGCUCAACCCCGAAACUGCACUUGAUACUGCGAUGCUCGAGUACUGGAGAGGUGAGUGGAAUUCCCAGUGUAGAGGUGAAAUUCGUAGAUAUUGGGAAGAACACCGGUGGCGAAGGCGGCUCACUGGCUCAUUUCUGACGCUCAGGCGCGACAGCGUGGGGAUCAAACAGG
rnacentral:rRNA from 1 species